rnacentral:lncRNA from 1 species
CGAGGCAUAUCUAAAUUUCAUGAAAAUACUUAGUCCUUCAAUUUUUCGUUCGCAUUCUCUGUUCGUAGCUCAACGGGUAAAAUUUUAUUUCUCUUUAUUUAUUGUGUGCUCGUUUGUGUGUGCCGUAGAUCGUGAAGUACCCGAGGAGGAGUGCGAGGAGGAGUUUGACCGCGAGCCUGAGCCCGAGGACUAGUACCGCGAGCAGGAACUACCGGAAGGUUUUGAGAAUGGCAAGUCCAAUCUCACCCUUUGAUGCAUAUUUAUCCUAAAUUUUCAAACACCACCUAUUGGCCUAUUUUCCAAAUUGCAUAUUGUUUUACUGCUGAGACAUGGUUGGAUAGCCACCCCUUGAUUGUUAUGAUUAUUCCUUAUUGUCCUAUAAUUAUCUCUAAAUAUGACUUGCUAUGUUUGGAUGAUAAUUACUGCUAGAAUGCUUAGGACCUUGUUACUCAAUUCAACCAUGACUACAAUCACUUUGCCCUCUUCCUGAUUGUAGAAAUAAUAUCCUUUGGUUUUCCUAGGAUAUCCCACAAAGAAGCAUUUAUCAGACUUGGGAGAAAGCUUAUCAUACGUCAUACGUUUUACAUAAGCUUCACAACCCCAAAUCUUAAGAAAAGACAGUGUAGGACACUUCCCGUUCCAUAUCUCAUAUGGUGUCUUCUCUACAGAUUUAAAUGGAACCCUAUUAAGUGUGAAAUCGGCAGUUUCUAGAGCGUAUCCCUAAAAGGACAAUGGAAGAUCACUUUAGCUCAUCAUAGACCUAACCAUGUCCAACAAGGUUCGGUUCCUCCGUUCAGAUACCCUAUUUAGUUGAGGCGUCCCAGGUGGAGUCCAUUAUGGAACAAUUCCAUAUUUUUUUAGAUGAUCACCAAACUCAUGGCUCAAAUAUUCACUUCCAUGAUCAGAUCAUAGAGUUUUAAUUGUUUUACCCAAUUGAUUUUGUACUUUAUUCUGAAAUUCUUUGAACUUUUCAAAGGAUUCAGACUUAUGCUUGAUUAAGUAGAUGUAACCAUAUCUAGUAAAGGUAAUGAAGUACUAAAAUCCUCCUCUGGCCACGCAGCUCAUUGGUCCACAUACAUCUGUAUGCACAAGGGCCAAUAACUCAUUCGCCCUUUCACUAUGUCCCUUGAAAGGUGUCUUAGUCAUUUUUCCAAGUAAACAAGAUUCGCAUGUAUCAAAAGAUUCAAAAUCAAAUGAGUGUAAAAGACCAUCUUUACGGAGCUUCUCCAUACGUCUCUCAUUUAUAUGACCCAAAUGACAAUGCCUAAGUAUAGGUGAGAUUCAAAUCAUUAGGUCGCAGCCUUUUAGCAUCAAUGUUAUAAAUUGGCUUAUUCUCAAGAUCUAGACUCCAUUCACAAAUGGACAGUUCCCAUAGAGAAUAUCAUUCAAAUAAAUGGAGCAACCUUGUUCCUUAUUAUGAUCUCAUAACCAUCAACUUCCUCUAAACAUGAGGAGGAUAUAAUAUUUUUUUUCCAAGGCAGAAAUGUAAUAAUAAUUAUUUAAUUUCAAAACUAAUCCCGACGGUAAUGAAAGUGGAUAAGUCCCAAUAGCUAAUGCAGCAACGUUUGCACCAUUGCCGACACAAGCAUCCACCUCGCCUCUUGCACACUUCCUUGUCCCUUUAAGCCCCUGCAACGAUUUGCAAGUAUGAAUCAUCGAUCCGGUAUCAAAUACCCAUGAAUCAUCAGGACGAGCAGCAAGAUUAAUUUCAAUAACAUUGAUACCUAAAGUAGAAGUGUCAACACUCUUCUUCUUCUUGAGUUCUUCCAAGUAAAGCUUGCAAUUCCUCUUCCAAUGGCCAAUUUUCUUGCAGCGAUGACAAGCAUCACUUGCUGGCACCUUUGGCUUGGGAGUUGCUGCAACCUUAGGCUUAGGAUUUGAGAUCUCAUCUGAAGACUUAGCCUUAGGCUUUGUCUUUCUCUUUCUAUCCUUCUGCACCAUCAUCACAUGAUUUGCACCACUUUUCUUGAUGUUUUCAUCUGCAGUCUUUAGCAUCCCAUGCAAUUCAGCCAAUGUCUUCUCCAAGCUAUUCAUAUGAAAGUUCAUAAUGAAAGGCUCAAAGCUCACCUAGAGCGAUUGGAGAAUGACAUCCGUUGCUAGAUCAGCGCUAAGGAGAGAACCAAGUUUCUCCAGGCUCUCAAUGUAAUGAAUCAUCUUGAUCACAUGAGGACUGACAGGACUACCUUCUGCUAGCUUGCACGCAAACAAGGACUUAGAGAUGUUGAACCUCUCAGACCUUACUUGGUUCUCAAACAUGCCACGUAAUCCUACAAUCAUAUUGUAAGCAUCCGAAUUCUCAUAUUGCUUCUGAAGCUCAGAGGACAUAGUGGCAAGCAUGAGAUAGACAACAUCGAGUACAUCAUUAGUAUGCUUCUCAUACUCCCUUUUCUGAGCGGCAGUAGCAUUACCUGGCAUGUCAUCAGGAUAGGGAAUCGCUAGAACAUAUUCAUUUUUCUCUUGCUUGAGAACAAUUCUCAAGUUGCGAUACCAAUCGAUAAAGUUUGUUCCAUUAAGCUUUUCUUUUUCGAGAAUUGAACGCAAGUUACAACUAAAAGUGUUACUAGCAGUUGGUGCCAUGAUCUAUAACACAAAAAUACGCAACAAUAAGCAUUGUGUAAAUGUAAACUUCUAUUAAAUAAUUUAACAAAAGUUCCUCCACUAUAUGGUUGGAAUCAUUUCCCUAUAACGACAUAUAGUGGUACAAGAUCCAUAUUCAACUAGCUCCUAGUGAGCUUUGGCAUCACGGCUAGAAAUCUAGUGACUAAGGUAAGCAACGUCUGCUAAUCACAUCCUUAUGACUCUUGUUUGUUGGAAGGCAUCAUAUGCCCCUGCGCCCAACACCAUACCCCAAAGCCCAAAACCGUUUUGAUAACUUUGUUAAGUGAACAAAUACUAUGCAUGUAAAUGUCCGACAUUUACCCUACUUAUUGAGAUAGCUGGGGUACUCUAUUUUGGCAAACAUACCACUCAACGAUCAAAAUUUUAAUAGUUGCAGCUAUUGGAAGGGCAUCAAUUUCAAUCUUAAUUUUUCUGAGAGAACCUUUUCUAGCAUGAAUAUCAAGUCUAACCAAUAAUUCAUGAUAAAUAGGAUGAUAGAAACAUCAUCACAUGUAAUCAUAUUAACUGUGAAAUAGUAUGGCCCUUUAACAUGAUGAUCUCCAUCUCCAUCGCCAUAUGCCUCCUGUCCUUGUAUCCACCAUGCUUGAAAUCGGUCUCCACGAAUGAAUACAAGCUACUACAACUAAUAGCUAGUAUGAAUUACAUGAAGAAAUCAAGCAUCACAAGUCAACACGCAAGUCGUUAUACAAUAUCAUGACAACCUCAACCCAGCUAAAAUUAACCAUGACACGCAGGCCAUGAAAAUUACAUACAUGCAUCACAUACACAUCUUGGGCCAUACCAUUCACAACAUUCUCUGCAAAAACAAGUUAGGCGAGAACUGGUACUAUCGUAUGAUCAAAAAAGGGGGAUAACAAUCUAGGCGCGAGUCCGUAUGGCGGUCCUAAAAACCUCACAGGAUUACACAUAUCGUAUCUAUGAAAUUGCAAUGAAAAUCUCAUCGGACAGAUCACAUCUAGCCGAUUUCGAGUCAUUCAUAAUGCCUCGUAUUUUCUUUAGGUUCCAAUGAGUAGACCGUGACACAUAGUCAUGAUCACAUCAACUCUGUCUACUAGUGCACACAGUUAGUUCCGAUAGUGAUUCCAGCCGGUAGGGAUAGGUUGUGCACGCGCGGAGAAGAAGCACGAACAGAUCAACGACACAUAUGACAAUAUCAUCUCAUAACCUUGUGAAACCCUCCUAAUGAUUGAUUGAUCUAAUCAACCCGUACUUGAAAAUAUGUAAUAGAUUGCAUCUACUACACCAGCAUAUCAUCUAUAUGCACAUGAUCCAGAUCACAAACUACACAAGGUUGGCCCUGAUGCCACUGUAGGGGAACUAGUAGGCUACGCUAGCAAAACAAUUUUAAUCUACCGUUCAACCAGGAAACCUUGUAAGAGGGAGAUCAUGGAUCAUUACCAUUAGACGCGCAGGUAGAGUGGAAGCGUUGUUGGAGAGGCUCGAUCCAACGUAGUUGCGCGUCGAUGUAGAGGAAGCAGACGAUCACGUCUUGCUCCACGUCCAGCCAUCCAGCACCACAGCAGUAGCGCCUCCUUGCAGUAUCCACACGUACGGGGUUGGAGCACCACAUGUGGUGUGCUAGCACCGGCGGCGCGGCCUAGGGUUUCGUGGGAGGAGAGUAGAGGGGUGGCUAGGUUUUGAACGUGCCUGUGCCCUAAGCCCUGCCUCUACUUAUAUAGACCCUGCUAAUGGGUUUUCACGUAAAGGCCCAUUAGUGGUCUAACCCCUCUUGGAUCAAUAUCCAUAUGUCCUCAAAUAUGGAUCAAAUCCAUAUUGUCUCUUGGGCACAUAUCCAACACGGCAUGCCUCUGACCCUCCCUGAGGAUGUGCUGCACGGCCAGAGCAACAGCGGGUGCGGGUUCCCUUCCCAACCUCGACGGCGCUGCUGCAGGUCGACAGCAGCAUCACCUCAGAUCAAGUCCAAACUCAGUCCUUGCAUCCGUUCAUGCAUGAAAAAAUUUUCCUCCUUGCAUAAGUCGAGCUCUUUCGUGGCUCUUAUUCUGUGACCUGCUUAAAUUUUCAAUUAGAAAAAAUGAUGAUAUGUCCCAUUAUUAUGUUCACAAUCUGAACAUUUUACAAACCUUCAUCUUGCAAAAAUCACUCAAGAUACCUUAUUCUCAUAAAUAGUUUUCAAAAAAUGUGUUCGAUUCAGCACUGAAGCCAUGCAUUGAUGCCCUCUGUGGUCGUCUACAGGAGUGGUCCUGUGGCAGGAGAUAGCUUCACAACUAUUGCUGAGAUAAGGUACCGAUUUGCUCAAUUAUUGUUCAAUUGUUCUCCAUAUCAGAAUUUACCAUUGAACUUCAUUCAAAUGAAUAUGUUCAUAUCUGUGAUGGUGACAAAAGUUUCUUUAAGAAAUCAGGCUAUGUUAGAAUUCAACAAUUUGCCACCUGUAGAAUCAGUUCUCACAUAUCAAUAUGUCCAUGAAAGAGAGAUAAAAAUAGUGUUUACAUGAUAUUUCUCCAUGACAUCAAUAUAUAUAUAUAGUUACUGGACCACCAAAAAUGAUGCUGACCAUGCCCUCCUUUCUCUUUGCUUGAACUGAGUGCCAACCAGGGACCAGAAAUGCAUGGUUGUUCAGAAAUUGAGAAGAGUCCAUUAGAUAACUUUAUUAAGCCGCAUCAAAAUUCACCAUGAUUUCUCAAAUAGAACUUAUGAACUGCAUUAACCAUGUUAGGAUAACAAGAGUAUAUCAAAGUAAGCGGGCAAUUUAGCAGUAACUGCUAAAAGCUUAUAAGAAUUUCUAUGGCAAAAUUACCUUUUUUCAAUCUGGCGCACAACCAAUGAUUAGGGUACAGAGCACACAUCUUUUUGGCAAACUACUAUAAGUGUGAGAUGUCAAUCUUCAAUGCUCCUGUACCAUUUCCAGUAAUUGAAUAGCAUUUCUUUUCCAUGAUGGAUGGAUGGAUGUGUUAAAACAUAGAGAACAUUCUUUUACAGUUAAAAUAAUCAUAGAAGACAUGUAUAUGCAAGGCUUAACUCUGUCAAAGUUCCUUGGAAUAUGAUUCUACCAGUGACAGUCUGAAUUAGACAAUUGCAUGUGGGCUCCCUGAUCUUUGUUGAAAAGAUCAAAGCACCUAUCCAUUAUGAUUCAUACCGUACAUGAACUCAAUUCAGAAGCACUUAAGUGAUUAAGAUGUCAUCUCUAUAUUUUUUAGUACCUAAUUUCACCACUUGUCAAGUAACACUCCUAUCCAUCAUUGUUCUAAUUCUUUUUGUUCUUUCUGAUUACAUAUCAAAGCACCGCACUGUCUAGAUUAGCAAAAUAAAUGGUAGGGGCUGUAUGCUCGCUGCAAAUAAUUUUCAGAAGCGCCAUGAUGUAAAAUCUGCAUGCACCAGAUGAAAGCUCUUAAGAUCCUAGAUUUUUGGUACAAAUUUAAUUUUCAGAAUCAAAUAACUUUACUGCAAAAUUUAAAAUCCCUAACUGGGAGAGAAAUUUGAUACUCAGUCUUUUGUCUCACCUAGAAAUUCCUCGAUCAUUGGAGUAUUAAUCUUGUCUUAGCUUUUGAAGUCACAUUAAACCCAUUGACCACUGUUUUGAAGUCAGAUUAAACCCAUUAAUCACAUGAUGACUAAGAGAUCUAACCUUGGUGUAUUCGUUCCUUAGGGUUGCAAAACGGAUGGCCCUUGCAUGGUGACGACAUUGAUGGUGAUUCUUUUCCUAGAACGGUGGCGGAAGACAAGCGCACCAACUCCGCAUCUCCCGGGGCGACAUCGCAAGUUGGAGGGUGCAGGGUCACAUAUCAGUGCGCACAUUGGCAGCGGGAUCACGUAGAGCAGCGACGCCGCAAGUUGGAGGAUGCUGGGCAAGAUCAAACAAACAAAUUGACGAAUCUUAGAUGUAGCGGUGAUGGGCGAUCCGUUCUCGCUCGUCGGGUGCCACGUGAACCAUGGGCGCGCGGCCGACGAGGAGGGGCCUCCUCUUCACAUGGGUUGGAGGAGACGACGGCGUCGGGUUGGCAGACACGGCGGCGUCGGGUUGGCAGACACGGCGGCGGUGGCUUGGAGGCAGCAACGGAGGUGGGUUGGAAGCGAUGGUGGCGGCGAGAGGUGCGCGCCGUCUCCACAUCGUGGAGGGAAAGGAGGAGGAGGAGGACCCUUAUUAGGGUUUGGUUGGGGAAGGGGAGGCAGCAGGAGCCGAGAGAUCACGGGAUGGGCGGGGGUUGCUACGUGCGGCGCGUGAUGCGGGAGGGAGCGGACGGUGGAGGACAGGAGGAGGAUCGGGUGCGGGAUCGGAGGGCUCAAAAUUGUUUUUUGGCUGACCGAAACCGAGCGAAGCGCAGUACUGUGAUGUUUUGUCGCCGUUCUAGUUUUUUUUAGCUCUAGAGAUGAUAUCAUGAUGCAUUUGGAGGAAAUUGGGUUGUGUUCAUAUCCUCUUUUGUUUCCUAUCGCUCAUCUAUUAAGGUCUGCCAUCAAGGCGAGAAAGCAUCACCCAAUCCUUGUGACAAAGUUGAAAAAAAGUGGCUGUUAAUUAACAGGAGCAUUCAACCACUACAAGAUACUCCCUGUGUUCCAAAUUGUAGGUCGUUUUAGCAUUUUU